rnacentral:rRNA from 1 species
CAGUCGAGGGGUAACAGGGAUUGCUUGCAAUCCGCUGACGACCGGCGCACGGGUGCGUAACGCGUAUGCAACCUACCUUUUACAAGGGGAUAGCCCAGAGAAAUUUGGAAUAAUACCCUAUACGAUCAUUAAUUGGCAUCAAUUAAUGAAGAAAACUCAGGUGGUAAAAGAUGGGCAUGCGUCCUAUUAGUUAGGUGGUAAGGUAACGGCUUACCAAGACUUCGAUAGGUAGGGGUCCUGAGAGGGAGAUCCCCCACACUGGUACUGAGACACGGACCAGACUCCUACGGGAGGCAGCAGUGAGGAAUAUUGGACAAUGGAGGCAACUCUGAUCCAGCCAUGCCGCGUGCAGGAAGACGGCCCUACGGGUUGUAAACUGCUUUUAUACAGGAAGAACUAUAUCUACGUGUAGAUAUUUGACGGUACUGUACGAAUAAGGAUCGGCUAACUCCGUGCCAGCAGCCGCGGUAAUACGGAGGAUCCAAGCGUUAUCCGGAAUCAUUGGGUUUAAAGGGUCCGUAGGCGGUCUAAUAAGUCAGAGGUGAAAUCCUACAGCUCGACUGUAGCAUUGCCUUUGAUACUGUUAGACUUGAGUUAUUGUGAAGUAGUUAGAAUGUGUAGUGUAGCGGUGAAAUGCAUAGAUAUUACACAGAAUACCGAUUGCGAAGGCAGAUUACUAACAAUAUACUGACGCUGAGGGACGAAAGCGUGGGUAGCGAACAGGAUUAGAUACCCUGGUAGUCCACGCCGUAAACGAUGGAUACUAGCUGUUCGAUCAACAUUGGUUGGUUGAGUGGCUAAGCGAAAGUGAUAAGUAUCC